rnacentral:rRNA from 1 species
UACGUAGGGUGCGAGCGUUGUCCGGAAUUAUUGGGCGUAAAGAGCUCGUAGGCGGCCUGUCGCGUCGGAUGUGAAAGCCCGGGGCUUAACCCCGGGUCUGCAUUCGAUACGGGCAGGCUAGAGUGUGGUAGGGGAGAUCGGAAUUCCUGGUGUAGCGGUGAAAUGCGCAGAUAUCAGGAGGAACACCGGUGGCGAAGGCGGAUCUCUGGGCCAUUACUGACGCUGAGGAGCGAAAUCGUGGGGAGCGAACAGG